rnacentral:lncRNA from 1 species
UUUUUCAAUUCUUUUCAUUUUUUUUUUGAAAAUAAACAUGCUAUGAUGCAAAUGAUGCAGACAAGACUAGCUGGCUGUGCAUCUCGGAGCACAGGAUCAAAGCUUCGGCUUGCAUUCGGAACCACAAAUCAUCUGAGACCCAAAAAUCAUCUGAGACCCAGAGUCAUCUGAACCCAUAGUCACCAACAGGAUCACAAGUCACCAACAAGUCACCGAUAAGUCACCAACUGUACCUGUAAUAAUGAUCAUUCCCUC